UACGUAUGGUGCAAGCGUUAUCCGGAUUUACAGGGUGUAAAGGGAGCGCAGGCGGCGCGUUAAGCCUGGUGUGAAAGCCCGCGGCCCAACCGCGGGACUGCAUUGGGAACUGGCGCGCUGGAGUGCCGGAGGGGUAGGCGGAAUUCCUAGUGUAGCGGUGAAAUGCGUAGAUAUUAGGAGGAACACCAGUGGCGAAGGCGGCCUACUGGACGGUGACUGACGCUGAGGCUCGAAAGCGUGGGGAGCAAACAGG
rnacentral:rRNA from 1 species